rnacentral:rRNA from 1 species
UGCCAGCCGCCGCGGUAAUACCAGCACCUCAAGUGGUCAGGAUGAUUAUUGAGCCUAAAGCAUCCGUAGCCGGCGCUAUAAGUUUUCGGUUAAAUCUGUACGCUCAACGUACAGGCUGCCGGGAAUACUGUAACGCUAGGGAGUGGGAGAGGUAGACGGUACUCGGUAGGAAGGGGUAAAAUCCUUUGAUCUAUUGAUGACCACCUGUGGCGAAGGCGGUCUACCAGAACACGUCCGACGGUGAGGGAUGAAAGCUGGGGGAGCAAACCGGAUUAGAUA